GCAUAGGCCUAUGUGGUUAACUACGUCACAUCCGGGCCAGUGCUCCACUUUCCCUGAAGCCGCUGAUCGUUUAGACUGAAGACGAGGGAUGCGUCUGUUUCAAUGAUGAACAGAAGUGCAGAGAUGAAUCCAGGACGUGUUCUCCCCCGACCUCCUGACUGACGUCUGGUCCUCAUGUCGGAGUUUGACUGAACUGACAAAUGCAGAAAUGAAUCCAGGCCGUGUUCUCCCCCGACCUCCUGACUGACGUCUGGUCAUCAUGUCGGAGUUUGACUGAACUGAAAAAUCCAGAAGUGCAGAGAUGAAUCCAGGUCGUGUUCUCCCCCGACCUCCUGACUGACGUCUGGUCCUCAUGUCGGAGUUUGACUGAACUGAAAAAUGCAGAAGUGCAGAUAUGAAUCCAGGUCGUGUUCUACCCCGACCUCCUGACUGACGUCUGGUCCUCAUGUCCGAGUUUGACUGAACUGAAAAAUCCAGGUUUGUGAAAAUGAAACAUAUGGAAACGGGGUUAACAGCUUUAACAGUGAAGGAACUUCUUUCUGUCAACUACCGCCGUAAUAAACAUUAACAGCUGAGAGCAGCGCUGAACUUGUAAACAGCAACAAAUCAUAGUCUCAGGUUAUUAGCUGCUCAUCUCUCAAAGUGUUGGGAGUAAACCAGUAGCUCCUGUGCAGACCUUUUCCAGCGAGACCCAGCCUGCAGUGGCUCUGUUCUUUCCUAUUGUGUCUGCUAGAGAGCCAUGAGGCCGUUUGAGGCCCUGCUGUGUUUCUCCAUGGCGGGGUUAUAGGUAAACCUCAGACACACUGUCCACUCUGUCAAAGAAGUUAUUAUGACUGAAAUGAUGAGUCUGCUUUAAGGCUGUAUCUUGUCUUAUAGAAAACAUUGUCAAACUGUAGAGGGUUAAUUGUGCCUUGGAAAUUUGUGAAAACCAAUUUUAAAAAAAAAAAAAAAAAAAAUGUAUGGAAGCGAGCUUCUGUUAUUGAUUUAGUAUUUCAUCUGUUUUUAUUUAGGAAUACAUAUAUUGUGCUUUCUUUAAAGAAAGUUGCACAAAUGAUAAUUAAUGAGGGAGGAUUCUAAGAUCUAAUCUCUAUUAACAGUUUACCUUCAGUUUGUGUGAUAAACUUAGUUAAAGAUCUGAAGUCAAACAGAAAUAAUGUUGAUGUCAGUCUCUUCAGCAGAGUUCAUUAUGUGACCAGUGUUACAGAUUUAAGAGCAAAAACGAAUGUAUUAGCAAAAAUAAAUAACUAACCUUUUUCUGUUCUAUUCUCUGCACAGGAAGUGAAACACAGAAGUAUCUGAGCUGAGGCUGGUCAUCCUGUGGACGUCUCUCUUUAGGACACAUUUACAUGAUGUCACAGAUUGUAUAACAUGAUGUGUAUCUGUAAUUUCACUGCUGAGGAUCAAAACUUGCAGUUUCUUUAUGCUUUAAAUGAGCAAAUGCACCAGAGAAAAACACUGACUGAAGAACUAAUGAGGAACAAAGAAGGUCGAGAUGUUACGAUCACUGAAAUAAAAUCUGUGUGGGAUUUAUUUGAAAUGAUUAAAGUGUCCAGACAAUACAAACUGUCCUACAAUAAAAACAAGGUUUAUGAACUGUU